rnacentral:rRNA from 1 species
UACGGAGGGUGCAAGCGUUGUUCGGAAUUAUUGGGCGUAAAGGGCAGGUAGGUGGUCUUGUAAGUCUACUGUGAAAUCCCUGGGCUUAACCCAGGAAGUGCGGUGGAUACUGCAAGACUAGAGUGCCGGAUGGGUGCGUAGAAUUCUCGGUGUAGCGGUGAAAUGCGUAGAUAUCGAGAGGAAUACCAGAGGCGAAGGCGGCGCACUGGACGGCAACUGACACUCAGGCACGAAAGCGUGGGGAGCAAAAGGG